rnacentral:rRNA from 1 species
AUUGAACGCUGGCGGCAGGCCUAACACAUGCAAGUCGAGCGGAUGAGGGGAGCUUGCUCCUGGAUUCAGCGGCGGACGGGUAAGUAAUGCGUAGGAAUCUGCCUGGUAGGGGGUGAUAACGUCCGGAAACGGGCGCUAAUGCCGCCUACGUCCUGAGGGAGAAAGUGGGGGAUCUUCGGACCUCGCGCUAUCAGAUGAGCCUAGGUCGGAUUAGCUAGGUGGUGGGGUAAAGGCCUACCAAGGCGACGAGCCGUAAGUGAUCUGAGAGGAUGAUCAGUCACACUGGAAGUGGAACACGGUCCCGACUACUACGGGAGGGCGCAGUGGGGAAUAGUGGACAGUAGUCGAGAGCCUGAUCCAGCCAUGCCGCGUGUGUGAAGAAGGUCUUCCGAUUGUAAAGCAGUUUAAGUUGGGAGAAGGGGCAGUAAGCUAAUACGUUGCUGAUUUGACGUUACCUACAGAAUAAGCACCGGCUAACUUCGUG